rnacentral:rRNA from 1 species
CCCGAGGAAAAGAAAUCAACCGAGAUUCCCCCAGUAGCGGCGAGCGAACGGGGAGGAGCCCAGAGCCUGAAUCAGCAUGUGUGUUAGUGGAAGCGUCUGGAAAGGCGCGCGAUACAGGGUGACAGCCCCGUACACAAAAGCGCAUGUGCUGUGAGCUCGAUGAGUAGGGCGGGACACGUGGUAUCCUGUCUGAAUAUGGGGGGACCAUCCUCCAAGGCUAAAUACUCCUGACUGACCGAUAGUGAACCAGUACCGUGAGGGAAAGGCGAAAAGAACCCCGGCGAGGGGAGUGAAAAAGAACCUGAAACCGUGUACGUACAAGCAGUGGGAGCACAGGUUUACCUGUGUGACUGCGUACCUUUUGUAUAAUGGGUCAGCGACUUAUAUUCUGUAGCAAGGUUAACCGUAUAGGGGAGCCGGAGGGAAACCGAGUCUUAACCGGGCGUUAAGUUGCAGGGUAUAGACCCGAAACCCGGUGAUCUAGCCAUGGGCAGGUUGAAGGUUGGGUAACACUAACUGGAGGACCGAACCGACUAAUGUUGAAAAAUUAGCGGAUGACCUGUGGCUGGGGGUGAAAGGCCAAUCAAACCGGGAGAUAGCUGGUUCUCCCCGAAAGCUAUUUAGGUAGCGCCUCGUGAAUUCAUCUCCGGGGGUAGAGCACUGUUUCGGCUAGGGGGCCAUCCCGGCUUACCAACCCGAUGCAAACUGCGAAUACCGGAGAAUGUUAUCACGGGAGACACACGGCGGGUGCUAACGUCCGUCGUGAAGAGGGAAACAACCCAGACCGCCAGCUAAGGUCCCAAAGUCAUGGUUAAGUGGGAAACGAUGUGGGAAGGCCCAGACAGCCAGGAUGUUGGCUUAGAAGCAGCCAUCAUUUAAAGAAAGCGUAAUAGCUCACUGGUCGAGUCGGCCUGCGCGGAAGAUGUAACGGGGCUAAACCAUGCACCGAAGCUGCGGCAGCGACACUCAGGUGUUGUUGGGUAGGGGAGCGUUCUGUAAGCCUGUGAAGGUGGCCUGUGAGGGUUGCUGGAGGUAUCAGAAGUGCGAAUGCUGACAUAAGUA